GUUGUAUGGUUAAGUGACUAAGCGUACACGGUGGAUGCCUUGGCAGUCAGAGGCGAUGAAAGACGUAGUAACUUGCGAUAAGCCCAGAUUAGGUAGUAACAACCAUUUGAGUCUGGGAUUUCUGAAUGGGGAAACCCACUUACAUAAGUAAGUAUCAUUAACUGAAUACAUAGGUUAAUGAGGCGAACCGGGGGAACUGAAACAUCUAAGUACCCCGAGGAAAAGAAAUCAACCGAGAUUCCGAAAGUAGCGGCGAGCGAAAUUGGACUAGCCCUUAAGCUUUACACGCGUUAGACGAACGGUCUGGAAAGUCCGACGAUACAGGGUGAUAGUCCCGUAGUUGACGACGUGUGUUCAGUGAAAUCGAGUAGGGCGGGACACGUGAUAUCCUGUCUGAAUAUGGGGGGACCAUCCUCCAAGGCUAAAUACUACUGACUGACCGAUAGUGAACCAGUACCGUGAGGGAAAGGCGAAAAGAACCCCUGUGAGGGGAGUGAAAUAGAACCUGAAACCGUGUACGUACAAGCAGUAGGAGCAGGCUUUGUCCUGUGACUGCGUACCUUUUGUAUAAUGGGUCAGCGACUUAUAUUCAGUGGCAAGGUUAACCAUCUAGGGGAGCCGUAGGGAAACCGAGUCUUAACUGGGCGUUCAGUCUCUGGAUAUAGACCCGAAACCAGGUGAUCUAGCCAUGGGCAGGUUGAAGGUUGAGUAACAUCAACUGGAGGACCGAACCGACUAAUGUUGAAAAAUUAGCGGAUGACUUGUGGCUAGGGGUGAAAGGCCAAUCAAACCUGGAGAUAGCUGGUUCUCCCCGAAAGCUAUUUAGGUAGCGCCUCGGACGAAUACUACUGGGGGUAGAGCACUGUUAAGGCUAGGGGGUCAUCCCGACUUACCAACCCUUUGCAAACUCCGAAUACCAGUAAGUACUAUCCGGGAGACACACGGCGGGUGCUAACGUCCGUCGUGGAGAGGGAAACAACCCAGACCGCCAGCUAAGGUCCCAAAUUACUACUAAGUGGGAAACGAUGUGGGAAGGCUCAGACAGCCAGGAUGUUGGCUUAGAAGCAGCCAUCAUUUAAAGAAAGCGUAAUAGCUCACUGGUCGAGUCGGCCUGCGCGGAAGAUGUAACGGGGCUAAGUAGUAAACCGAAGCUGCGGCAAUGUGCUUUUGCACAUUGGGUAGGGGAGCGUUCUGUAAGCGGUUGAAGGUGUGUGGUAACGCAUGCUGGACGUAUCAGAAGUGCGAAUGCUGACAUGAGUAACGAUAAAGGGGGUGAAAAACCUCCUCGCCGGAAGACCAAGGGUUCCUGUCCAACGUUAAUCGGGGCAGGGUAAGUCGACCCCUAAGGCGAGGCCGAAAGGCGUAGUCGAUGGGAAACGGGUUAAUAUUCCCGUACUUCUUACAAUUGCGAUGGGGGGACGGAGAAGGCUAGGUGGGCCUGGCGACGGUUGUCCAGGUUCAAGUGCGUAGGCUUAAGAGUUAGGUAAAUCCGGCUCUUUUUAAGGCUGAGACACGACGUCGAGCACCUACGGGUGUGAAGUCAUUGAUGCCAUGCUUCCAGGAAAAGCCUCUAAGCUUCAGAUUGUAAGGAAUCGUACCCCAAACCGACACAGGUGGUCGGGUAGAGAAUACCAAGGCGCUUGAGAGAACUCGGGUGAAGGAACUAGGCAAAAUGGUACCGUAACUUCGGGAGAAGGUACGCUCUCGACGGUGAAGUCCCUUGCGGAUGGAGCUAUUGAGAGUCGCAGAUACCAGGUGGCUGCAACUGUUUAUUAAAAACACAGCACUGUGCAAAAUCGUAAGAUGACGUAUACGGUGUGACGCCUGCCCGGUGCCGGAAGGUUAAUUGAUGGGGUUAGACUUCGGUCGAAGCUCUUGAUCGAAGCCCCGGUAAACGGCGGCCGUAACUAUAACGGUCCUAAGGUAGCGAAAUUCCUUGUCGGGUAAGUUCCGACCUGCACGAAUGGCGUAAUGAUGGCCACGCUGUCUCCACCCGAGACUCAGUGAAAUUGAAAUCGCUGUGAAGAUGCAGUGUACCCGCGGCUAGACGGAAAGACCCCGUGAACCUUUACUACAGCUUGGCACUGAACAUUGACCCUACAUGUGUAGGAUAGGUGGGAGGCUUUGAAGCACGUACGCCAGUAUGUGUGGAGCCGUCCUUGAAAUACCACCCUUGUAGUGUUGAUGUUCUAACGUCGACCCCUAAUCGGGGUUGCGGACAGUGCCUGGUGGGUAGUUUGACUGGGGCGGUCUCCUCCCAAAGAGUAACGGAGGAGCACGAAGGUGGGCUAAUCACGGUUGGACAUCGUGAGGUUAGUGCAAUGGCAUAAGCCCGCUUGACUGCGAGAAUGACAAUUCGAGCAGGUGCGAAAGCAGGUCAUAGUGAUCCGGUGGUUCUGAAUGGAAGGGCCAUCGCUCAACGGAUAAAAGGUACUCCGGGGAUAACAGGCUGAUACCGCCCAAGAGUUCAUAUCGACGGCGGUGUUUGGCACCUCGAUGUCGGCUCAUCACAUCCUGGGGCUGAAGUCGGUCCCAAGGGUAUGGCUGUUCGCCAUUUAAAGUGGUACGCGAGCUGGGUUUAGAACGUCGUGAGACAGUUCGGUCCCUAUCUGCCGUGGGCGUUGGAAGAUUGAAGGGGGCUGCUCCUAGUACGAGAGGACCGGAGUGGACGAACCUCUGGUGUUCGGGUUGUGUCGCCAGACGCAUUGCCCGGUAGCUAAGUUCGGAAUCGAUAACCGCUGAAAGCAUCUAAGCGGGAAGCGAGCCCUGAGAUGAGUCUUCCCUGAUACUUUAAGUAUCCUAAAGGGUUGUCGGAGACUACGACGUUGAUAGGUCAGGUGUGUAAGUGCUGUGAGGCAUUGAGCUAACUGAUACUAAUUGCCCGUGAGGCUUAACCAUACAACACCCAAGGGGUUU
rnacentral:rRNA from 1 species